rnacentral:rRNA from 1 species
UGGGGAAUAUUGGACAAUGGGCGAAAGCCUGAUCCAGCCAUGCCGCGUGUGUGAAGAAGGCCUUUUGGUUGUAAAGCACUUUAAGUGGGGAGGAAAAGCUUAUGGUUAAUACCCAUAAGCCCUGACGUUACCCACAGAAUAAGCACCGGCUAACUCUGUGCCAGCAGCCGCGGUAAUACAGAGGGUGCAAGCGUUAAUCGGAAUUACUGGGCGUAAAGCGCGCAUAGGUGGUUAUUUAAGUCAGAUGUGAAAGCCCCGGGCUUAACCUGGGAACUGCAUCUGAUACUGGAUAACUAGAGUAGGUGAGAGGGGAGUAGAAUUCCAGGUGUAGCGGUGAAAUGCGUAGAGAUCUGGAGGAAUACCGAUGGCGAAGGCAGCUCCCUGGCAUCAUACUGACACUGAGGUGCGAAAGCGUGGGUAGCAAACAGGAUUAGAUACCCUGGUAGUCCACGCCGUAAACGAUGUCUACCAGUCGUUGGGUCUUUUAAAGACUUAGUGACGCAGUUAACGCAAUAAGUAGACCGCCUGGGGAGUACGGCCGCAAGGUUA